rnacentral:rRNA from 1 species
AGUGAACGCUGGCGGUAGGCCUAACACAUGCAAGUCGAACGGCAGCACAGGAGAGCUUGCUCUCUGGGUGGCGAGUGGCGGACGGGUGAGGAAUACAUCGGAAUCUACUUUUUCGUGGGGGAUAACGUGGGGAAACUUACGCUAAUACCGCAUACGACCUACGGGUGAAAGCAGGGGAUCUUCGGACCUUGCGCGAUUGAAUGAGCCGAUGUCGGAUUAGCUAGUUGGCGGGGUAAAGGCCCACCAAGGCGACGAUCCGUAGCUGGUCUGAGAGGAUGAUCAGCCACACUGGAACUGGGACACGGUCCAGACUCCUACGGGAGGCAGCAGUGGGGAAUAUUGGACAAUGGGCGCAAGCCUGAUCCAGCCAUACCGCGUGGGUGAAGAAGGCCUUCGGGUUGCAAAGCCCUUUUGUUGGGAAGGAAAUCCAGCUGGUUAAUACCCGGUUGGGAUGACGGUACCCAAAGAAUAAGCACCGGCUAACUUCGUGCCAGCCGCCGCGGUAA